UACGUAGGGGGCAAGCGUUGUCCGGAUUUAUUGGGCGUAAAGAGCGUGUAGGCGGCCAGGUAGGUCUGCUGUGAAAACUCGAGGCUCAACCUCGAGAUGUCGGCGGAAACUGUCUGGCUAGAGUCCGGAAGAGGAGAGUGGAAUUCCUGGUGUAGCGGUGAAAUGCGCAGAUAUCGUGAGGAAGACCAGUGGCGAAGGCGGAUCUCUGGACAGUUCCUGACGCUGAGGCGCGAAGGCCAGGGGAGCAAACGGG
rnacentral:rRNA from 1 species